GUCGGGUAGCUCAGUUGGUAGAGCAGGGACUGAAU
rnacentral:tRNA from 1 species